AACAUCAUAGGCAGCUUAGCUGGGUCCUCUGAAGACUUCUGAGAAAAAAGUGCUGAUUCUUGUUGAUAUUA